rnacentral:lncRNA from 1 species
GUUUUAUUUGCGUGAAAAAAAAAUCGCUUACCUUAGCUGUCCAGGUGCGACAGCCCGGUUCCCUCCAUGUCGCCGCAACAACGGCGAAUCAAGCCGAACGCUGCCGCCACUUCAGCGGCGGAGUACGCGUGUGUAGCCGCCGCCUCAUCCAGACCAUCUUCCUCGUCACUUGAGCUGUUGGCCUGGGCAUCCUGGG